rnacentral:rRNA from 1 species
ACGUUGUUUGUUGACUCUGAAUACCGUCGUUUACUGUCAGUUUCGACUGACUCUAUCCGAGAAGGGUGUCUGCCCUUUCAACUAGAUGGUAAUCUAUUGGACUACCAUGGUUGUUACGGGUAACGGAGAAUUAGGGUUCGACUCCGGAGAGGGAGCCUUAGAAACGGCUACCACGUCCAAGGAAGGCAGCAGGCGCGAAACUUAUCCACUGUUGAGUAUGAGAUAGUGACUAAAAAUAUAAAGACUCAUCCUUUUGGAUGAGUUAUUUCAAUGAGUUGAAUAUAAAUUAUUCUUCGAGUAGCAAGGAGAGGGCAAGUCUGGUGCCAGCAGCCGCGGUAAUUCCAGCUCUCCUAGUGUAUCUCGUUAUUGCUGCGGUUAAAAAGCUCGUAGUUGGAUCUAGGUUACGUGCCGCAGUUCGCAAUUUGCGUUAACUGUGGUCGUGACUUCUAAUUUGCUGGUUUGAGGUUGGGUUCGCCCUUCAACUGCCAGCAGGUUUACCUUGAAUAAAUCAGAGUGCUCAAUACAGGCGCUUGCUUGAAUAAACUCAUCAUGGAAUAAUGAAACAGGACUUCGGUUCUUUUUGUUGGUUCUAGAAUUGAUCUAAUGGUUAAGAGGGACAAACCGGGGGCAUUCGUAUCAUUACGCGAGAGGUGAAAUUCGUGGACCGUAGUGAGACGCCCAAUAGCGAAAGCAUUUGCCAAGAAUGUCUUCAUUAAUCAAGAACGAAAGUCAGAGGUUCGAAGGCGAUUAGAUACCGCCCUAGUUCUGACCGUAAACGAUGCCAUCUCGCGAUUCGGAGGGUUCAUGCCCUACCGAGGAGCUACCCGGAAACGAAAGUCUUUCGGUUCCGGGGGUAGUAUGGUUGCAAAGCUGAAACUUAAAGAAAUUGACGGAAGGGCACCACAAGGCGUGGAGCUUGCGGCUUAAUUUGACUCAACACGGGAAAACUCACCCGGUCCGGACACUAUUAGGACUGACAGAUUGAAAGCUCUUUCUCGAUUUGGUGGUUGGUGGUGCAUGGCCGCUCUUACUUGGUGGAGUGAUUUGUCUGGUUUA